UGUACGUUCCAGCCUGAAGGCCUGUGAACUUGAUCCCCAGCGAAAGCCAGCUUCACUGCAAGUCCAAAGACAAGAGAAAACCCAGUCCCAGCUCAAGGCGGUCGGGAGGAGGAAAAGCCCUCCGUCUCAGGGGAGGGUCAGCUUCUCUGUUCUCGGGGCUUCCAAGCAAUACGAUGGGGCCCACCUGCCCUCAGGCUUCCGCUUGCUGGAGAGGCCUGUCUGCCUCGCUUACGCAGACCGGGUCCAGUGUGAGUCAUCCAGACACACCCAGAACCGUGUUGGACCCCUUGUCUGGGCAUGCCCUGGCCUGGUCAGGUUGACACAGGAUGAACCAUCACGCCUUGCCAGGGUCCUAGGGGUGGGGGGGCUUGUGUGUGUCCUGUUGCAGUGGAGGCUGCUGCAGCUGGGGCGGGAAGGGACCCUCCGCUGGCCCUGGCCAUGUUAACUGCCUGGUUGCCCCUCUGCAUUCCCGCUGGGCUGGCAGGGGCUGGGCCUGAUGGGUAUUUAGCACUGAGGCCUGGAUUGUCCCCCCUCCCGUAUCCGUGUGUUGAAGCCCUAACCCGAGGACCUCAGAAUGUGGCUGAAUCGGGGGAGAAGCCCCUUAAAGAGGUGAUUUUAUUAAAAGGAAGCUGUUAGGGCGGACCCCGGUCCAGUCUAACUGGACACAGACCCCAGGGGCGUGCGUGCUCCGAGGGACCAUCUCACAGACAGGAGCAGGAUGGCGGCCGUCCGCAAGCCCAAGGAGAGGCCUCGGAGGAAACCCGCCCUGCUGACACCUUGGUCUUAGACUUCUGGCCUCCAGACAGAGAGGCUGGGUGUCUGGGACUUAAGUCACAGUCUGUCACCUUGUUCUGGCGGCCCCAGCAGACAGACACAAGUGCAAGUGCUCCGUGUGUGCUGAAGGUCAAAGCAAUAAACCACGGUGGCCCUUGUCCUGGAGGAGCCCCCUGUGUCAUGGGGGAGGCCGACUCGAAGCAGGAGCUGCAGCCCUGGGCCCCAAAAGCCACCGUGGGAACAGAAGAGGCUUCCUGAAGGCUUCUGGCGGCCACUCCCCGUGGCUGUGGGUUCGAAAGGCGUUUUGAGCAGGGAGCCCGUGUGCAUCAGCCUGGAGCCCGGAAGGACAGCGCCUCUGGGAACUUGGGGCGACCUCGUGUGCCCCCCCAAGGAGUUGGGCCCUGGCCUGAGACGGUGCGAAGCCCCCCCUCCGCCCCCCAGCAGGAGACCCUCACUCUGGCGGCUGCAGAGGUGUUGGACCAAGCAAAACAAGAGGCAGCCUGGCAGAGCAGAAAGCCUCGCUCACCACCGGCAGCGUCCCCAUCUGGGGACGGCCAGUUACCGGGCAUCUCCGAGUGCCAGCGCCUACCUCUUUUCCAUCAGGCCAGAAUCCAGCGAGGAUUAACCUGACGGUUUGCGGCAGGGGCUCGCUUUUAGAAGAUGCUCGGUGAUUGGGCGGGUCCUCCCCCGCAGGGGGCGUGGCGGGAGCGGCACAGGAGCCCCGCCCAGCCCUGCCCCGCUGCCUCCCCUGACCCCCGACCUGCGUGGAUCCUUCUCCCUCUGUUCCCCUAAGUCUUGCCCAUUGUCCCAAACCCCCAUAACACGCCCCUUCUCCAGGGGCCCUGUCAAGGGCGUAGGUUCACCUUAACCUUCACCUCCCACGAACCCCUGGGUUUUGCGGCGACUGCCUAGAGUGUUUCAUGCGCCAGGACCACUGACUCAGAAGUGGCGCUGCAGGGGGUGGGGUGGGGGCGUGGAUCUGGCGCCUUUGCACAGCAGGCCGCCGGGAAAUGGUCACCACAGCGCAUCGUGACUUUCACGCAGCUGUGCUCUGUGACCCCGACACCUGGCCAGCCAUCCCUCCUCCAGCAAACAGCAAGUGCCGGGCACUCUGCCGGGCGCUGCGUCUGGACAGUCAGUGGUCCCCGUGCUGCCCCCGGUGUGCCGAGGGAGGCAGACGUUGACCAGAUCAUGAAAGAAAGUGCGGUUACAGCUGUGCUGGGUGCCCCGAGGGACACUCGGGCCUGCAGCGAGCGUGCAUAGCAGUCGCCGCCAUACCCACCUAUGUCAUGCCACCUGCACCCCUGCAACGAGCUCCACAAGGCUCUGCAAGAGCUUGUUUUCCCCAAAUGUCUCUUUCCUCUUCCUGCCUCUGCAUCCACCGGUCCCUCCAGCCCUCCUUCUUUGGGGGCUGGUCCCUCCACUUGAGCAGGGAUGCCAUCCCGGGUCACGGUCGUGGGGUGGGGGGUCUCUCUCUUCCUCCUGUGUGCGUCCUUUCCAACAGGCUCAAGUUUCACCCAUCUAAAAACAACAACAACAACAACAACAAAAACCCCACACAACUCCCCAGUUCCAGACACCCUUUCAUUCAUUAUUUAGCUCCGUUGUCUUCUGACUCUUGGUUCAUAUUUUUUUAAAAGAACUUUGAAAAAAAUCUACACCAACAUUUCAAGCUGAUAUUGUUCUACAGCUCAAGUAUUUAGAGUUACAAAUAAUAUCAUUUGCCACAGAUGGUAGAGAGGCUUUAAAGAAAACGAAUACAUCACUCCUGUAAGUGAUUUUAACAGAAUUGACAUGUAGAAAAAUGUAGUUCCCGCCACAUCCAUUUUAUAGACAGAAUGUGCUUUCUUUUCAUGUUUGGAAAUAAUGUGUUUACGUUUUCUUCUAGCAGCUGCAUUUCCAUUUCACUUUACUCACAGAAUUUUCUCCUAAUGUCAUGUUCUUAUGCUUGAAGUCAUACAGAAUAUGUAUCACAUCACAUACAGAAUUAAGUUCUGGCCAUAUGAGAAUGAAAUUAAAAUCCAUUGGAAAAAGAUACCUGGACAAUAUCUGAAUAUUUGGAAAUGAAAAUGCACACUGCCCAAUAGCCUGUGGGUGAAAGAAAAAUUAUAAAACACAUUUAAAAUGUUUGAGUGAUAAGAAGAAGAGAAUACAGCCAGCCCUUGGUAUCUGUGAGGGGUGGGUUCCAGAAUUCACCUCAGAUACCAAAAUCCACAGAUGCUCAAGUCCCAUUGUCCCCACCCCCCAUGGCCAAAGUUCCGCAUCUGCGGAUUCAGUCCGUCCGGGAGCAUGUGGCACCAUGGUGUCUGAGGGCAACCGGAGGGCUAAGUGUACCUGCAGAGUUCAGACCUACGUUGUUCAAGGUCAGCUCUACAUGAACAAUUCUGAAACGCAGCUAAAGUUGUGUUGAAGGAAAUUGAGAGCUUUUAAAUGUUUUGUUAGAAAAGAGGAGAGAUUAAAUCAAUCUGAAGUUUCCACCAUGAGAAGCUAGAAAAAGAAGAGCUAGUGAAACACAAAGGACCAAGGACGUAGAAGAAAGCAAACUACCAGGGAAAGCAGAGAUCAGGAGUUCCCGUCGUGGUGCAGUGGAAACGAAUCCGACUAGGAACCCUGAGCAACAGAUGGUAGAGAGCUCGGGUUCGAUCCCUGGCCUCCCUCAGGGGGUUAAGGAUCCGGUGUGGCUGUGGCUGUGGUGUAGGCCGGCAACUACAGCUCCGAUUGAACCCCAGCCUGGGACCCUUCAUAUGCUGCAGGUGCGACCCUAAAAAGCAGAAAUCAAUAAAAUAAGACAUGGGCAAACAGCAGAGAAAACUCAGUAAAACCAAAAGCUGGUUCU
rnacentral:lncRNA from 1 species